UGGGGAAUAUUGGACAAUGGGCGAAAGCCUGAUCCAGCAAUGCCGCGUGAGUGAUGAAGGCCUUAGGGUUGUAAAAGCUCUUUUUACCAGGGAUGAUAAUGACAGUACCUGGAGAAUAAGCUCCGGCUAACUCCGUGCCAGCAGCCGCGGUAAUACGGAGGGAGCUAGCGUUGUUCGGAAUUACUGGGCGUAAAGCGCACGUAGGCGGCGAUUCAAGUCAGAGGUGAAAGCCCGGGGCUCAACCCCGGAACUGCCUUUGAAACUAGAUUGCUAGAAUCCUGGAGAGGUGAGUGGAAUUCCGAGUGUAGAGGUGAAAUUCGUAGAUAUUCGGAAGAACACCAGUGGCGAAGGCGACUCACUGGACAGGUAUUGACGCUGAGGUGCGAAAGCGUGGGGAGCAAAACAGGAUUAGAUACCCUGGUAGUCCACGCCGUAAAACGAUGAUAACUAGCUGUCCGGGCUCAUAGAGCUUGGGUGGCGCAGCUAACGCAUUAAGUUAUCCGCCUGGGGAGUACGGUCGCAAGAUUAAAAACUUAAAUGAAUUGACGGGGUCAUAGCUGUUUCCU
rnacentral:rRNA from 1 species